rnacentral:rRNA from 1 species
CCCGCUGAACUUAAGCAUAUCAAUAAGCGGAGGAAAAGAAACUAACAAGGAUUCCCCUAGUAACUGCGAGUGAACCGGGAAAAGCUCAAAUUUUGAAUCUGGCAGUCCUUGAGGCUGUCCGAGUUGUAAUCUAGAGAAGCGUUUUCCGCGCUGGACCGUGUAUAAGUUUCCUGGAACGGAGCGUCGUAGAGGGUGAGAAUCCCGUCUCUGACACGGACAGCCGAUGCUUCAUGUGAUACGCUCUCGAAGAGUCGAGUUGUUUGGGAAUGCAGCUCAAAAUGGGUGGUAAAUUCCAUCUAAAGCUAAAUAUUGGCGAGAGACCGAUAGCGAACAAGUACCGUGAGGGAAAGAUGAAAAGCACUUUGGAAAGGGAGUUAAACAGUACGUGAAAUUGUUGAAAGGGAAACGUUUGAAGUCAGUCGCGUCGGCCGGGACUCAGCCUUGCUAUCUUGCUUGGUGCACUUCUCGGUCGACGGGUCAGCAUCAAUUUUGACCGUCGGAUAAAGGCCGAGGGAACGUGGCAUCCUCCGGGGUGUGUUAUAGCCCUUGGUUCACAUACGGCGAUCGGGAUUGAGGAACUCAGCGCGCCUUCAUUGGUCGGGGCUUCGCAGCUCACGUUAACGCGCUUAGGAUGCUGGCAUAAUGGCUUUAAGCGACCCGUCUUGAAACACGG